AAAUAUAUUAAUUAACAUCUAAAUUCAGUUAAUAUUUUUAUUAGGCCUUUAAUAUAUAUAUAUAUAUAACUUUUUAAACAAUGCUCUUAAAACGAGGAAAAAUGCUAAGUGAGAAGGAUACGUUCAUAUUAUACAAGUACAGGAGGCGGGAACGACAUUUCAUGAGGCGGGAUCCUUAAUUUGGGGGGAAAUAUCUGGAAAGCGGUAAGGGUAAAUUCGUAAUCACAUUCUUUGCAAAAGCUGAAGAAGUAUUACACAACCAUUUAGUGUUUUAUUUCAUAAGCACUUUGCGUACAAGUUCUUGGAGGAAGUCUCUAGAAAGCUGUAGAGAUUUUCAGGGGAAUUAGGGCCAUCGUCUUGAGCUGAAGAAGAGAAGCUUACCUCAACUGUGGUGCAGCCUGGGCUCAAGGGGUCACUGUGGGUGCUAGUAAAAUCAGGUGUAUCAGAAUAGGGGGUAAAUCUGCAGCUCAUUACAAGAAUGGUGCGAAGUUUGAUUGGUAGAGGAGUCCGUGGACGCGGAGGAGGAUUUCGGGGCAUAUCGGUGCGCAGGCCAAUUAUACAAGACGCUCAGUCACCACCCAGAAGCUCUGAACCGAACCUGCGAGACGAGGCUAACUCCUCGUCAUCAGACGACUCAACCCAACCACCCGAUGUCGUAUUUGAGACUGAGUUCCCAGAACAAUUGGAUGGAACAGCUGUGAGUAAGAAACGAGGCCGUGGACGAGCCAAGAUGACAAAAUUUGACAUGCUUCGGAAAAUGGGCCCGAUUCCGUUGCUUAUCAAGAAUGGAGACACUAAGGUGUCAUGCCAAAAUGCUAACAUUUUCAGUGGACGGGUGACAUGGAUAAUAAAGCAUUAUGCAAACAUGGGUUACAACCGUUGGAAUGAAGUGCCAGAAGCUGAACAGGAGGAGUUGUGUGGCCGUGUCCGAGCUGACUUUAUUGUUGAAUGGGAAAAAGAAAACCAUCGAAAGACUGUUAUUGACCAACUACGUAGACGGUUUAAUUCUUUCCACUAUGACUUACACAAGAUAUUCCUUGGGUAUGGGAGUACGAAAGUUGCUCUAGCAAGAGGAACCGAGUUGGUGGAUCAUGCAGUGUGGAGGAAAUUGUGCAUGCGCUGGGGUAGCAAGGAGUUCAAGGCCUUGUCGCUGCAAAACAAGGCUAAUAGAGGCAAACAGCUCACCAACCAUACUGCUGGCAGGAAAUCCUUUGUUCGAAUACUCGAAGAGCAGCGUGAGGGUGUUAAUAAUUUGGUCGAAUUUUUUAAAGAGACACGAUGGUCCAAGAAGAAGAACGGGUUUGUAACCGACAUGAGUGAAGAGCUGUAUGAAAAAAUGGUGGAAAAGCUGAAUGAAAUGCAGCCGGAAGAGCGCACUAAAGAGGCAGCAGCUGCAGUGUUUAGGGAGGUCCUAGGGAGGAGAUCAGGAUAUGAGAGGGGUUUGGGGGAGAAGGUAAUGCCUGUAACUCAUGGAAUAGCCCAAACUAGUAACAAUGGAGGUCUAUUGAGCGAGGAUGCACAGUAUUGGAAGGCGCAGUUUGAGGGGUUAAAGGCAAAUGUUCAGGAGAUUUUACUAAAGCAAGCAGAAUUUGAUAAAUUUAUGACAUACACUCAAUCACAACAACAGUCACAGGGGGAGUUUCCGAGGGAGACUCCGGGGGCUAUGUAAGAUAGUCUUGUGGUAGGUUUUUUGGGACUUUUUGGGAGAUAUUUUGGAACUUUUGGACUAUUUUGAGAGGCAACAGAUUAUGGUAAUGUACAUAUAGUUAGUUGGUUGACAACAUUGACAUAUUUUGUGAGUGGAUUUUUGGACCAUCAUGUAUGGGUGUUUGCCAAGAGAGGUGGAUGCAUUAUAUAUUUGGAAACAAAGAUGGGGUUUUAUAAGUACUGCUUACAAUUUCAACUUUAUGGGUAGUAAUGAACUCCCUCACGGUAUAUAGACAGGACGCGAUUUGGGUUGAUAAUAUGAUGGUAGUGCAAAAGAGUUUGAUACGUGCGACCUUGCCGAUACAUGUGGGGGCGACAACCCUUUCAAACAGGAAAAACUGUUGGGCAAGAUGGGGCUAGCUGAUGGGUGAUUGGUGAAACUAGUACAAAGAUGGGAGCAGUUAUGGUUCUAGACACAAAAUAUACUGAUGGUUCCAUGAUUGAAAGGAUUCAAAUGUUGUCAACCUAGGGUACACUGUCUGAAUAUAUAUGAUAAUUAUAGUUGCCGUGUAUUAAAUGUCCAAAAAUUAUUGCCUCAUAUGCGACUGCUAUGUAAGAAGUUGCUAAUUUAGGUAAAUAUGUAAUAGAGUGAUUGGUAAAUCACUGGUAGUGGAAUUAGGUGGAUCAAAUGUAUGUUACACCAAAACUAUGACAGCUUUCAGGGUAUAUGAAGUUGCUAGAAUAUAAAUGAUACAAUAUUUACGUAGUUGGAAGAUG